rnacentral:tRNA from 1 species
CGCUGGAUUAGGUGCUUAGUUGUUAACUUAGUUUUUGUAGGAUCAAGGCCUACUAAUCUAGUG